UGAACUUAAAAAGUGAAAUGAGAGAAUAGAUGAUACUGGAAAUUAUCAAACUACUAUGGAAAGACACGACACUAAAAAGGAUCCAUGUCCAUUCAAUAGGAAGAAGAGGCCAGCAGCUGUCCUUAACUCUCCGUGGUAUUGGAGAAACAUCAGCAAGUGGUGGGCAAACACCCUCCGAGGGAAGACAGGCGACCCAAGGGCUGCGGUUGAGGCCGUCUCCCCCAGACCAGCUUUCAUUCACUCCCCACCCAAUGCCUGGCUGAGCACCAUAGUGACAUUCACUUCUGAAUGUGACAAUCUUGUCAGAACACUAGAUUGACACAUGGGUGUCAGGAGCACUCCAGGAAACAAUCUCCACAAUGAGAUAACAGUCCAUACCUUGUCUACACAGCAAGCGACAGAAUUUAGGAUAAAAUACCCUGACGAAAGCAACAUAAAGGAGAAAGAUUCACUGUGACUCACGGUUCCAGAACCUUCAUUCAGUCAUGGAUGGAUGGAAGCAGAUGCAGAGAUCCACGGCUAAGCACUGGGCCAAACUCCUGGAGUUCAGUCAUAGAGAGGGAGGAGCGAUAUGAACAAAGCAGCCAAGACCAUGGUGGUGACCACAGAAACAGCUGACUCAAGCUAGGAGGAGCUCACCGACUCCAGGCUGACAGCUGGGGAGCCAGCACAAGGCAGAACUAGGUCCUCUGAAUGAGGGUGACAGUGGUUCUUUGUGAACAGUGUGAUGAUGGCGUCGUCAGCAGAGCCAGCCAUAGCUUACUCUUCAUUUUGGACAUGACUAUCAUUUGGUGAAGAAAAAGAUUAUAAUGCCCAAAUCGUCAGAUCCAACGUACAUGGACUUCUUUGGGAUUGAAGAAAAUAGGACUCUCAGGAUGUCAUUUUAAAUGGCAAAGAACACCAAAUUUCUACCAGAAAAUGUGAAAACACUAGAAAAGAGCUAGCAAGCCAUUCAGACUACUUCUUAAAUGAUAAUUGUGGAUGUUCGAGUCACAUGCACGUUUUAACUAGCAUAUUUUGUUAUUUUAUGAAAUUGAUAUUUAUAGUGGCUCAAAACAAACAGAGCUGGGCUCAGUGAGACUGCUCUGACAGGUGCAGUGGAGCAAAUUCAACUCACCCAUCAUAGUUAAGGCUGAAAACAUUCGGCGGAGGGAGUUUGGGUAUUGCAAAUUUUAUGGUCCCUUCAUGUAUGAUGGUUUUGCCCUUGAAACUUAUGACAGCACAGAUCUAGUAAUCUCAGCUUAAUAAGGCCACAGUGUUCAUUUGUGUAAAAUAAAGCCAGAGCCCUGGAUCCUGGGAAUUAUCGCACGGUACGAAGCUGAGGAUUAAUACUUGUAGUUACAGAAUGUGUUUGAUAAUUUAGUUAUUCUCAUAGAGUCAGCAAGAGCCCAGCAUUGGAACUGCUUUCUUCUUCCCAGUGUGCCUUUACUCAGGAAAGAAUCGACAGACCCAUCCUAGGCCCAAGGAAAAGGAAAUAAACAAAAGCACUAGGAACCUUCUGGUGUGAGACUCCUGGGCUGGUGGAGUCUGUGACUCUAAGAGAGAAAUGGUGGUUGUUGAGACCUGUCUCUUUCUCUGGGAAGCUGUGGUAUACAACCCACUAAGAUGGCAACUGAACUGUGUAUGCUAGGAUCUCAGGAGAGGACUGGGCUAAAGGAAAAGCCUGUGGGAGGAAGUGGGAUGAGGGCAACAUUUUCCUAGUACCUCCACCCCACCUCGCCUUCAGACCUAUCUGCAAGGGCCUUCUCCCUAUGGGAGCUAGCAGAAAUUAGACUCAUAUCCGACUGGUCAGCAAGUGUCUGCAGUCACAUGCCUGCCAUGGGGCACUGAACAGCAAGGGCUGUCCACCAGAAAACUACAAGUAACAGUCCAGGAGGAAAAAAGAGGGCCAUUCUUCUGAUGCUGUUGUCCCUGAAGGACGUUUUGGGGAAUUCCUAAUGACAGACCCACUUUAGUAGGGAGCACCUCUCUCUGAGAAGUUACCUGCAGGUUCCUGCAACUGUUGUCACCAUAAAAACAUGGAAGAGAAGCAGCUAUUCCCACUUCUGUCCUUUGGGAGAGAGGGUAUUUGAUGACGCUCUUAUGAUAUCAUUGCUUAGAAACACAGAAUCCAAAUGGCCGAGUGAAACACUAAAGUCCUCCAUUGUGCAAUAGCACGCACAGUGGAUGCCUCACCGCUUACCCGUGGCACAGCCCAUCUAACAUUGAGGUGGGGAGAAACCUCUGCUUUUCCUACGACAUUGUGAGCCUUUGAUCCCAUCCCAGUGCUAUUACAGUUUCUUCACCCACUCCUCUAGAGAACCACGGGCUGAGGAAGCCACAGAGCCUGUCUCUGAACAACUUCCGUAUGUUGUUCCAAGGAUCAGACUGUGUCCAUUAACACUGAGCUAAUGAGGCUUGAGAACUUUCUGUGUGAGUGAAGAACUGAGGGAGUGGGCUUCACAGGCGCUGAGCUGCAGGCAGCACUCAUGACUGGAAGACUGCCCAGGCUUCUGAGGCUUAAACCCUGGGCCCAGCAUCUGUGUGCAUGCAUAGUCAGCACGGGAUUUGACCUAAGUGGAAAACAGUCUUAAGUUGCUUAACUUUUAUUCUUUAACUAAGCUUCAUUGCUGUUUCAUGCUUUGUUUAUUUACUUAUUUAUUUAUUUAUGCAUAUGUGUGGGCGUGGUCCCCUGUGUGUUCCUGUGUGGAAGCCAGAAGUACACACUGGGUGUUUUCCUCCGUCACUGGCCACACCUCAUCUUUUGAGAUAGUCAUUGACUUUGAGCUCAUCGCUUCCAUGAGGCUGGCUGUCGGCGAAGUUCAGAAUCCACUGUUCUUCAGCCUCUCAGUGCUGGGCUUACAGGGGGGAGCUGCCACACUAGUGCUUACAUGCGUGCUCCAGCCCAACCCAGGCCUCUGCUUGGGCCCCAGGCACUUGUCCACUGAACUAUCUCUCUGAGAUGCAGUACUGGCUGGUUUGGGGCUGUAUCAUUUGUAGAUAAAAAUCAGUCAGUGAUCUUCCACAUCAAAGUAAGGAUAAGUGGAGUUUCCAACUUCCCCUGGUCCUGGAGGGCGGAGCAUGUGUUGUGUGACGCUAGAAAGGCCUUUCCACUGCUCCAUUUCUUCCCACCCGAGCCACAUAGCUAAGCGUUCACUUUCUAUAUCUCAUCACUCUCCCGUGUGCUAAAUGUUCAGGGACAUUGGUUCUCUGCUGUAGGAAGGCUUGCAGCUUGUGGUUACCCGCCUCCUGGGUAACCUUAUACUAUAUACUGGGCCUCUUAUACUAUCUAUGCACGGAUGCAGAUAGUCCCUUCUUCCUUUGCCCCAGCUGCUUUGGAUUGUUGGAUUGCUGGAUUCCAUCUCUGUCCACAAUUCAAGCAGAGAAUUCUAAUUUGUGAGUUUGUGAGUUUACCCCUAAAUAACUAUCUAUUUCUCAGUUCUGAGCUAGUGUGGGAUUUCUUUUAAGCGUCUGUUCAUCAGUUCUCAAUCUGUGGAUUGGUCCCUUUGUAGGUUGAAUGAACCUUUCACCAGGGUUGCCUAAGGCCAUCAGAAAACACAGAUAUUUCCCUUACAACUUGCAACAGUAGCAAAAUUACAGUUAUAAAGUAACAAUGAAAAUAAUUUUUGAUUAUGGGGGAGUCACUACAACAUAAAGAGUUGUAUUAAAGGGUCACAACACUAUUGAGAACCACUGUUCUAGGGUGUGUAGUACCCACACAUUAGGAAAGGGGACAUGGAAGAGUAGGGCACCAAAAUACUGACACAUCACGCUCUAGUCCACUGGCUGCCCAACCACAAAGCUCAGCUUACCUCACUUACUUCUGAAUAA